rnacentral:lncRNA from 1 species
AUGCUCAAAUGGCCUGGGCCGCCUCCAUCCAGUUCCUGUACACCACCUACCCUUUGGGUCUGGGCCAGAGACCCCUCCCAGCCUCCCUCGGGACGUGGGGCGUGGCCCUCUGUCCCCACUCAUCUCCUGUCCGCCGCUGGGGAAGGAUGGCACCAGGGACAACAGAAGCCUGUAAAAGUGAGACUUAAAAGGCUUUCUUUUCUUUUUUUGGCUUUUAAAAUGUUGCGCGUGAUUCCAUGCUAGUCCCACAUCCUCCUCCCACUCUUACAUUUUUCCUCCUGGUGCAUUAAUAGGAUGCAGCUUUGGGGAAAGCAGGAAACUGAGUAGAGACUUCAUCAAUCAUACUGCUUGCAAAGCUUUGAAAUAAUCCUGAAGAUGGCACCACUCUUUAAAAAAAAAAAACUUAAAAGCUACCUAGAAGAAUAUAGCUUUUAUUCAAUUUUCCUCUUUAUUGUACCUGAGGCAGCAAAACUGUUUAAGUAAUGUCGUGGACCAUUUAAUGUCACUAUUGUUUGCUCGUGGCUAACCGACACAGUAGGACCCAUGAAACCUGAGUCUUACUGAUCUGGAACAGAUAGCUCAGUGGAGAGGAGAGGCUAUCACACAGCUAAUGGCUUAGCCUAACCCUAUUAUUUAAAGGAACAAAGAGGACAUUCAACCCUUAAUGGCAGUAUUCAGUCAGUGAGACAAAGGAGACACACUAUAUUUUUAAUCAGCCUUUCCUGAGUCAUGUUCCAAGGUUUUUGCCAUGUGAGUACAGGAGGAUGUGUUUAAAGGACCACAUCCGCUGACUCUGAGGUCCUUGGGCCACAAUCAGAUUACAGAUUUACAGCUGGAACAGACUUAGAGUCCAUCCCCUUCAUUUUGCUGAAGAAGAGGCAGAGGUUGAGAGCAUUUAAAGGGCUUGACCAACACCUAAAACAUGUAUUAGUGCCUCACACACAGUAAGUGUUCAAUAGAUGCUUUUUGAGUUGACUAGAUUUGCCCAAGAUCACCUAAGUUAUAAGUGAUAAAAGUCCUUUGAUUUCAAAGUCAGUGCUCUUUUGGUUGUACCCUCAGAAGCAACUCACUUUGAGGCCCCUUCAGAAGAGCUGAGAGAAGAAUUGUGCCUCCGGAAGAGCUCAACAAACAAAAGUGCAAGGUCCUGAAUUCAAAUCCUCUGCCCAGGAUCAACGGGACACCCCUUUCCUUCUUAGGAUUGUAUGCUAUUUCUUUCAUUCAUUGUAGUGAUUUGAGGAUCUCUAGUUCCAGAUUUGUUUGGCAGCCAAAGGACAAGGAGCAGAAAGAGCGAUAGAAAUAAGAAAGUUGUUGGUAGAAUGUUUUCAGGAUCAAGGCAUUCAAUGCCAGAAAGGGAAAAGAAAAAUAAAAAGAUCAGCUUGCUUAAGCAGAGAGGAACUGGUCCCAAGGCAUCUCAGCUUAGAUUCUAUCGGUUGCUUUUAGAGGUUGGCUGAGGACAGGGGUGAUAGGUGAGAGAGACAAGGAGCAAAGAGGUCCCUGGACCAUAGGGAAGCAUCAUUUGAUAGCAGCAGGAGUAGUUCUGCAUCUACUCUGGGGAUGCCAGUGAAGGCAAGUGCCAGGGGAAGUCUAAGCUUUACCCAAGACCCUACCCCUGCGCUUAGGAUUGGUUGGCUAUCGGCCAGGAAACAGGUAGGAGAAAUCUGUGCUUUGGAGAAACAUCUGGAUUAGGUGACCUUUAGUUUAUAGCCUAACAGUGCCAGGCAUUCAGUCAGUUUACUCAGAUUUAUUGAUAAGGACAGAGAUUUUAAAAUUGACAUUAGCUGUGAUAAGGCAAAGUUCAAUGGAAAUAAACGUUCACUAUGUGUACACUGUGGGUUUCUUCUAUCUCUGUUUCUGUUUUUGAUAAUCACUACACAAAAAAUAAAUAUUUAUUUUCUAGCAGGAAGGACCCCUUUCAGGCAUGUCCUGCCACCUCAUGGCAUAGUCUACAUCAAUUUUAAGGCACGUUUUGGGUCAGCAUCUACUCAAAAUCAAAGACGAAGAGCCCUUACUGGUGUUUUCCUUUUACCGGUCAACCAGAAUGAACCAAUAGUUUAAACACUUGAUUAAACAGUGAAACAAAAUAAAAGACAAAGGAAGGCCACCCAUACACACAGGUUAUACUCUCUUCCAUGGGUUAGCGUGACAUCUGGAAAGGGUGCAAAAAUAGGAAACUAGCCUAGCCAGGGUAAUUAAUGAGGGUAGGCUGUUUGUGCCUGCUAGGACACAUCCCUGGCUUUAAGCUAUUUACUUACUUCCCUGAAGCUGCCUGGAUGGCAUCUGCCAGUCUGCUGAGGUCAUCUGAUUGUGAGCUGCUUUCUCUGCGGCUGUACAACUGCUUUGCAGUUCUGUUCUCUCUGCUAGGUAGCUGAAAGUCAUGAGUUCAAAUCUGGCCCCAGAUAUUUCCUAGCUGUGUGACCCUGAGCAAGUCACCUAACCCUGUUCCCUCAUUUGUAAAUGAGUUCCCUCAUUUGUAAAAUGUGGCUAAUAAUAGCAUCAACUCCUUAUUAUUGUAAGGAUCAAGUGCAAUAAUAUAUAUAAAAUGCUUGUAAGCUUUAAAUCGUUAUAGAAAUGCUAGCUAUUAUUACUAUUAUUUGUGACUCAGAUCCCAUGACCAAGCAACCAACUUGUUGCUAGGCAUCUGAGAGAAGCCUUGAGGCAGUAAAUCUGUCUUUUGAACUCCCUUUCUUCUACUUCAAGUGAAACACUAAAUUUAUUUUACUCUUCAACUUGGGGUGAGAAAAUCUCUUUUAACGUACAUCAUGUCCUGCUUAUUCUAAGGAUCCAUGAAAAUCACUUUUCAUCAAUUUUACAUCAUAAGUUGAAGGAGGUGAGGAUGGAGCUAAAAAACCUAUGUAUUCCUGCUGGCAGCAAAAUUGUUGUUCUAUCUAAGCCUAUAUCUCUAUCUGUAUCCAUAUCGACAUCAAUAUUCAUAUAUCUUUUUUGUUUAAAAAAAAAAGAAUUUCUAAACUAGCCUUUCUUCUUUGUCUUACAACAAACACAAUGCAUUUGUUAAAUACAACAGUUGUUUUGCUUCCUUCAUAAACCCUUCUGACUGCCUUAUUUAAUAAGUUUUUCACAGUCCUGGACAACUCUUCGUUACUUCAUUUGACUUUUUCUUGGCAAAGAUACUAGAGUAGUCUACCAUCUCCUUGACCUACUCAUUUUACAGAUGAGGAAACUGAGGCAAACAAGAUUAAGUGACUUGCCCA